ACGCUGAAAGAUAUCUUUAAGAACUCUUUCUUAAGACGUCUUUUAGAACUGCGAAUAAGAUCUCUUAUAGACGUCAAUUUGAAGAAAUCUUUUUUCUGUCAUCAGAAAGACUUCUUAAUUCAGACUACAAUUUGUUAUCUCAUUUAUGACAAGUUUUAGAUUGACUCAUGACUUUCACUGAAUUUACUGCUCCUACGCAUGCGCGUCAUAUAAUAGUAAAACGCUUUAGUGCAAUCUAACCUAUAAUUAAAAUUUAAUUACAAGUAAAGUGUGUUUUUGUACAAAAAAUGUCCAAAAGGAAAUCAUUCAAGAACUUAUCUAAGAGUCAAAAAAAUAGAAGAAUAAAAAAAGAAUAUGACUCUUUAUUGGAGAUGCCUGGUAGUUCAAGUUGUGAGACUGAAAAAAUAACUGUGAAGGAAGUGAUAAAAUCAAAAACUGAUGGAGAAUAUGCGGAUAAUGUGAAAUUAUUAAAUAAUUUACAAGCAGUUAUCACAAGUGAAAGUGAUGAUUGUAAUAAUGAUGUAGUCAGCUCAGUGGAAUCAGAUGUUAAUGAAGAAACUUCAACAGAAAAUAAUACUUCAACAGAUAAUGAUGAAUUGUAUGAUAUUCCACAAAGUAAGAAAACAAUUGACUUGAAAGAACAGAUGGCACGAUGGAUUUGCCAUUAUAAUGUAACUCAUACAGCAGCAGGAGCUCUAUUAAAGAUUCUUCGUAAUAAUGUCCAAUCAGUUCAGCAGUUAAAAGAACUUCCGCAAGAUCCACGAACUUUGCUCAAUACACCUAGAAGUACUGUGAUUCGUUCCGUUGUACCUGGAGAAUAUUUCCAUUACGGUUUACAAAGAGGAUUAAUUGAUCAAUUAAAAUUAGUUGGUGUCAGUGAAAUGUUUGAAAAUAUCCACAUAAACGUACAUAUUGAUGGAUUACCAAUAUCAAAAAGUUCUAAAAGUCAGUUAUAUCCUAUACUGGCUGAAAUAUUCCCUAAAGUUGCUCAACCGUUUGUCGUUGGAAUAUAUCAUGGAUAUAACAAACCUGAUAGAUGUGACGUAUUUCUUCAAGAAUUCAUCGAAAAAUACAAUACUUUACGAAGACAAGGCUUCGAAUAUUAUAAUAGAACGUUUCAAGUCAUAAUUAGAGCUAUUAUUUGUGAUUCUCCGGCUCGAGCGUUUGUAGCAUGUACAAAAGGACAUAAUGGUUUUUUUGGAUGUGGUAAAUGUAUGCAAGAGGGCGAAUAUGAAGAUUGUCGAAUGUUAUUUCUAGAGAUGGAUGCACCAUUACGCACAGAUGAUACACAACCAUUACACAACCAUUGAUUACACAACCAUUUUAUAGAAUAACACUCAUAUACGCUUGUAUGCAGUUUAGUGCGUUAUAAAUCAAUUAAUUAAGAUGUAUUUUGUUGUAUUUUGCCAUGAUUGGUGUGCGACUGUGCCAGCAUGUUGGUUAAAUCUUAAAAUACAUAAAGUACAAUGGCCCCCGAAAACUAGUAAUCCAACGAUGGAAUCUAAAAAAGCGACUAAUCCAAAAGAUAAUUGGGCAGUCAUCAAAUACACAAGAGUGUUAGGACCGUAUAGUAAUUACGAAACUGCCAGAGCAGUAGAAAUUGCUGCUGUUGAUUUAUCGACUAACGAUGAUGAAGAGCCAUUACAAAACAUUACUAAUCAAAGUGAUCAACUUCCGCAGAAACGCCUUCGAAAAAAACCGGCACAUUUAAUUUCAUCUGAUGAAGAAGAUGCUGAUAAUGAAUCGGAGACCAUUACAACUAAAAUUAAAAAAAAUGUUCCCAAACCUACAUUUGCAUAUAAUGUUGAUCACAAAGAACAAAAAAAUUUGGUGGAAUCUAAAGCAAAAGGUCCAACAAAUGCCUCUAAAUGUCAGAAAGUAAAGAAUAUUGAAGAUGAAAAUAUAUAUUUGGAGCCUGACAAUAACAAUAACCAUAAGGAUGAUGAAUUACUCGAAGACACAGAACUCUUGGAUUACGGAAAUUAUUUUGCAGACCCAGUACAAUCUGAAAAAGCUAUUGAUUUAAAAAAAGUCAAACCUGUUAAUAAAUGUGACAAAAAUCUCAAUUCUGAUUCAGUUUAUUUCCAACCACGCAAGGAUGUUAAAAUUAUUCAUAGUAUUAAAACCAAUAUACCAAUACGUGUAGUAAGCCAAGAAAAGCCUGAGUCUUCUCAUGUUUCUUCAGUUGUAAAGCAAAAAACUACUGCUGCUACUGUUAAGGAUCCAUCCUCCACGAAGUGUCAUACACAUUGUUGUUCUGCAUGUCGUCUCAAUAUUGAAAGAAUAUUGCAUAAACUUGAAGCUUUAAGUAUGUUUCUUAUGGACUCUAAUCACAUUAAUGAAAAUCCGCAAAAUGCUAAUGCCCUACCACAAUUUCCUAUACAAAAUAUAGAAAGUUUAAAGGCAUUUAAUAAAUUAUUAGAUGACGAUGCAGGAGCACGUAAUCAAUAUAAAAAGAUGAUUCAGAUCAGAGGUGGCAGAGAUGUUAAGAAACAUAUCCGUCAAAUACUAAUCACCAUAUUAAACGACGAUUUGGCAUGCAAACUAUCGUGGACAGGUCAAAAAAAACGAUCGGAGUCAAAGACAUGAAAUUUGUUGAUGUUUUUGUAGGAAGUACAAAAGGAAGUGGUGCGAAAGUUUCUUUUACUUGACUGAAGCCAUGAUCGCUUCGGAGGCUUGCACCAUUCAUGAGGUCCAGACAAUAAUACAAAGCUGGCUUCAGCAUGCCGGUGAUCGCGUUCGAUACCAUGAAAAAAAACACAA